UACGUAGGGGGCGAGCGUUAUCCGGAAUCACUGGGCGUAAAGGGUGUGUAGGCGGCCGAUAAAGUCAGGGGUGAAAGGCUACGGCUUAACCGUAGUAAGCCUUUGAAACUUAUUGGCUUGAGUGCAGGAGAGGAGAGUGGAAUUCCUAGUGUAGCGGUGAAAUGCGUAGAUAUUAGGAGGAACACCAGUGGCGAAGGCGACUCUCUGGACUGUAACUGACGCUGAGGCACGAAAGCGUGGGGAGCGAACAGG
rnacentral:rRNA from 1 species